UACGUAGGGGGCAAGCGUUGUCCGGAUUCAUUGGGCGUAAAGAGCGUGUAGGCGGCCAGGUAGGUCGGUUGUGAAAACUGGAGGCUCAACCUUCAGAGGUCGACCGAAACCAUCUGGCUAGAGUCCGGGAGAGGAGAGUGGAAUUCCUGGUGUAGCGGUGAAAUGCGCAGAUAUCAGGAAGAACACCCGUGGCGAAAGCGGCUCUCUGGGCCGAUACUGACGCUGAGGAGCGAAAGCGUGGGGAGCAAACAGG
rnacentral:rRNA from 1 species